GAGCACGUAGGUGGGUUUGUAAGUCAGAUGUGAAAGCCUUCUGUUCAACGGGAGAAUUGCAUCUGAAACUACAGACCUCGAGUAUAGGAGGGGAGAAUGGAACUUCUGGUGGAGCGGUGAAAUGCGUAGAUAUCAGAAGGAACGCCGGCGGCGAAAGCGAUUCUCUGGCCUAUUACUGACACUCAGUGCGCGAAAGCUAGGGGAGCAAACGGGAUUAGAUACCCCGGUAGUCCUAGCCGUAAACGAUGGGCACUAAGUAGAGGGAAUUACCGAUGUUCUCUCUGCCGUAGCUAACGCAUUAAGUGCCCCGCCUGGGGAGUACGGCCGCAAGGCUAAAACUCAAAAGAAUUGACGGGGGCUCGCACAAGCGGUGGAGCAUGUGGCUUAAUUCGAUGCAACGCGAAAAACCUUACCGGGGCUUGACAUGGUAGAAGUAGGAACCCGAAAGGGUAACGAACGGUAUCCAGUCCGUAGCUAUCGCAGGUGUUGCAUGGCUGUCGUCAGCUCGUGUCGUGAGACGUUGGGUUAAGUCCCCUAACGAGCGAAACCCUUGUUUUUAGUUACCAGCGGGUUGUGCCGGGUACUCUAGAAAGACUGCCGUCGUCAAGACGGAGGAAGGUGGGGAUGACGUCAAGUCAUCAUGGCCCUUAUGCCCCGGGCUGCACACGUGCUACAAUGGUCGGUACAAACGGAAGCGAAGCCGAGAGGUGAAGCGAAUCC
rnacentral:rRNA from 1 species